rnacentral:rRNA from 1 species
GACGAACGCUGGCGGCGUGCUUAACACAUGCAAGUCGAACGGAAAGGCCCUGCUUGCAGGGUGCUCGAGUGGCGAACGGGUGAGUAACACGUGGGUGAUCUGCCCCUUACUUUGGGAUAAGCCUGGGAAACUGGGUCUAAUACUGGAUAGGACCAUGCUGUAGGUGGUGUGGUGGAAAGAUUAGUUUCGGUAAGGGAUGAGCUCGCGGCCUAUCAGCUUGUUGGUGGGGUAAUGGCCUACCAAGGCGUCGACGGGUAGCCGGCCUGAGAGGGUGGACGGCCACAUUGGGACUGAGAUACGGCCCAGACUCCUACGGGAGGCAGCAGUGGGGAAGAGUGCACAAUGGGCGCAAGCCGGAUGCAGCGACGCCGCGUGGGGGAUGACGGCCUUCGGGUUGUAAACUCCUUUCAGCCAUGACGAAGCCCUUGUGGUGACGGUAGUGGUAGAAGAAGCACCGGCUAACUACGUG